GAUGAAGAACGUAGCGAAAUGCGAUAAGUAAUGUGAAUUGCAGAAUUCAGUGAAUCAUCGAAUCUUUGAACGCACAUUGCGCCCGCCAGUAUUCUGGCGGGCAUGCCUGUCCGAGCGUCAUUUCAACCCUCGAACCCCUCCGGGGGGUCGGCGUUGGGGAUCGGCACUUACCUGCCGGCCCCGAAAUACAGUGGCGGUCUCGCCGCAGCCUCUCCUGCGCAGUAGUUUGCACACUCGCACCGGGAGCGCGGCGCGUCCACGGCCGUAAAACAACCCAAACUUCUGAAAUGUUGACCUCGGAUCAGGUAGGAAUACCCGCUGAACUUAAGCAUAUCAAUAAUCGGAGGA
rnacentral:misc_RNA from 1 species